GGUCAAUUAGUUUAAUUAAAAUGCUGGUUUUGUAAGUCUGAGAUAAUUUUUUAUUAUUGGCCU
rnacentral:tRNA from 2 species